UACAGAGGGUGCGAGCGUUAAUCGGAAUUACUGGGCGUAAAGCGCGCGUAGGCGGCUUUGCAAGUCGGGUGUGAAAUCCCCAGGCUUAACCUGGGAACUGCAUUCGAGACUGCAUUGCUAGAGUAUGGGAGAGGGAAGUGGAAUUUCCGGUGUAGCGGUGAAAUGCGUAGAUAUCGGAAGGAACAUCAGUGGCGAAGGCGGCCGGCUGGGGGUGUCCUGACGCUGAGGCGCGAGAGCGUGGGGAGCAAACCGG
rnacentral:rRNA from 1 species